GGGGAUGUGGCUCAAGCGGUAGAGCGCUCGCCUGACAUGCGUGCGGCCUGGGUUCAAUCCUCAGCACCA
rnacentral:tRNA from 1 species